GACGAACGCUGGCGGCGCGCUUAACACAUGCAAGUCGAACGGAAAGGCCUGCUUUCCCUUGUGGAUUGCGGGUACUCGAGUGGCGAACGGGUGAGUAACACGUGAGUGAUCUGCCCCCAACUUGGGUAUAAGCCUGGGAAACUGGGUCUAAUUCCCGAUAGGACUGCAGGGUGGUGCCUGUGGUGGAAAACGAUUUUCCAGUGGUUGGGGAUGAGCUCGCGGCCUAUCAGCUUGUUGGUGGGGUAAUGGCCUACCAAGGCGGCGACGGGUAGCCGGCCUGGGAGGGUGGACGGCCACAUUGGGACUGAGAUACGGCCCAGACUCCUACGGGAGGCAGCAGUGGGGAAUAUUGCACAAUGGGCGGAAGCCUGAUGCAGCGACGCCGCGUGGGGGAUGACGGCCUUCGGGUUGUAAACUCCUUUCGACCGCGAGGAAGCCACCUGGUUGGAAGGGUGGUGACGGUAGUGGUAGAAGAGGCACCGGCUAACUACGUG
rnacentral:rRNA from 1 species